rnacentral:rRNA from 1 species
AUGGAUGGCUACGAAAGCGGUCGGGAUGACGCGGAGCACCGCCGCCGUCGUAGAUCCGUCGCCGCACGCAAGCGGGGGGCGUGGAGGUGGCUCAACCACAGGAGCCGGCCGCCGCCGGCGUUCCAACGCCACGAGCUCUACGAGUACGAGGGCGAGCUCGCGGUCCGCCGCCACGCCUCCUCCGGCUCCUCUGCCGCGGGGAGCUCGUCCGCGGGCGCCUCGAGCUCACGGCUCACUCCGGUCAAGAGAGAGCCGGAGGAGCUCGGGCCGCUCACCGUCAAGAUCGAAGCCGACGCGCCGCCGCGUCGAGGAGUAAUCGGCCCCGAGGACUACCUCCCCCUGGGGCACGAGGAGCACCUAGAGCGCGCCAUCAUGGAGCGCUCGGCGAGGGAGGAGGAGUAG